CUAUUUCACAAGUUGGAUUAAAAUUUUAAGUGAAUUUUUCUAAGUUUCUUAUCUAACAAUAAGUCAUUGUACGUUCUUUCUUGAAAAAUUACUUAAGAUUGUCAGUUAAUUAUUUUUUUGAAAAAUUGG